AAACCUUUGAACUUUCUUGUUUCCCCGCCUGCCUCUCGCCCUCUCGGCUUUCGGAGGGCUUGCUCCGGAGUGUCAGCUCCGCCGGGGACCGCCGAGGGGGCAUUUGAAGGUGAAGCGCCCUGCGAGUGCCUGGGAGGACAAAGCGGAGGAUGUCGGGGCGAUCUGGGUGCGGACGCAGCCCGGGUGGCGGGAUGGAAAGCUCAAAUGCGGGGCAGGGCCCCCCGCCCGAACCCCUCGGAAAGCCCCCCAGCCCAAUGCCAGCGAGGGCUGCAACCUCCGCAGGAUGAGCCGGGAGGGCUCGAGGCUGAGACCGGCCGGCCGCAGGUCCUGAAAGGAGUUGGAGAGGCAAGGAAGAAGACAGGGAAGGAGCAGACCCUUCUCCUCCCUCCCGCUUCGACUCGGAUAUACUGUGGCCGGAGAAGAAUCGCCGGCUGCACGUCUCUGUGCUUUCGCUACCCAGGUUGGGGGGAGGGAGGGGAGGUGAAGUGGGGCGGGAGGGGGAAAGAGGAAAGUCGCCUCCCUGCGAUUGCCGGUUGAAGGACGCGAGUGCAGCGAUCCAUUGUCCAGCCCGGAUUCGGGACAGCAUCUGAAGGUGAGGAGGAAGGAGCUGAGAGGGCUACUUGACAGAGUAGAGCAAUGCCCUCUCACGGCACCGGCACCCACCUUUAGGGAUGCCUACCGCCGGCUUGGAGCAGGGUGGGGAGGGGACGAGUUCUGCUGCUGAUCCACCCUGCUGUCGCCAGCAGGAGAGGUGGGACAACAACCCCCAAAGUAACCUAUAUGGGUCUGAAAGGAGGGAGGGGGCUAGAGCGGAAUGGUGCUGGCAGUAAGUAGUGUGAGCCCGGGGAUGGGGGAGCAGCGGCGCCUGCAUUCUGGGGAGGCGCUGGCACGGCCCGUGGGCGACCUCCUCUGAAGGUCAGGGAGGACGCCGGAGCUGCACCUGGCACCGCUGGGAAAGGCGUGUAGAUCCAGCAGGCACGACAGAAAUCUUUCCCGGGGCAGCGAUGCCGGCCACUGUGGCUCCGCAAUCUGCAAAGCUCUUGAGUGCCAGCUGCAGAUGCGGGAUGCAGUCCAUGCUUUUAAUCUCAGGACAGUGCCUACCCACCCGGGUCUGCCUCGGUGCUCCAUGCCUUUCAGUGUUUGAGGCACUUGGACAAUGCCCCUUACGAAAUGCUUUAAUUUUCAAUCAUCCUCAAGUGGUCAGGCAGUUGGACUAGAUUAUCAUUUUAGGUCCCUUCCACUGAACUGUUCUGCUAUUCAAUUCUACGAGCUCCCAGAAAACCACUUUUGCAACAGACACUGUUGUCAGUCUAGGAAACUCAGCUGGGUAGGCAUGUGCUACACUUUUACUAAAAAAUUUCAGAAAGAAAAAAUUAAUACUAAUAGGGAGUGGAGAACACUCUUCUUUUAAGCCUUAACUCCCCCUGAGAGUUUGCAAUUCAAAGGACAUAAUGCCAUAUUUUUGAUGCUCUCUUUUCCAUACAUACCAUAGGAGUGUCUCAGCAAAAAUUACUGUGCUCAAGAAAUUAAUCUAGGAGACUGCUGGAGCUGUGUGCCUGGGUUCCUGUGCAAUUAACACAGUAUUUGCAAAUCUAUGUUGCCUCACCAAGUGCCCAUAUAACUUUAAGGAGGUCUUAUAGUUUGGUUCUGUCACAAAACACCUCACAUUCCUCCUUCAUCAUAUGAUUGCUGUUGAAGAGAAGGGCAGUGUCCCCACCCCACACUAUUAAACCUCCACAUGCACACAUUGCUCUUAUAUCCUGGAGUUCAGGAAAGAACAAUUCAAAUGCCCUCAAAUACAAGGAUUAGAGAAGUGUGGACUAACAGCUAGAACACCCAGUUGCCUAAAAUCACCUUUCUUCUUCAUGCUUUGUAUCAUGCUGCAUCAAGUAACUCCUGUAGCAGCCAAGAGUCAGCACAGACAAAUGAGGUUGCUGAGAAAUCUCAUACUUUCUGUUCACAGGCUCCUUACAAGCUUUGCAACAGCAAAUGUCCUUCUUUGUGUGCAGUGAAUAGUGAUGUCAUCCACAGGGGCUUUCAGAACCCAGGAAAAGAAUGAGCACAUUAAGUCCCUGCAAGGUCCGUGAGCUUCUUUUUGACCUUUUUAGAGCUACUGGUCUCUCUCCACAGCCAGCUGACCCUCCAAAGUUCGAGUACCCAUUGUUCUGUCCCCAGACUGCUCCCACUUUUUCCGGAUUAUACAGCUGCCACAGAAAAUCAUGACAUAUGAGACAGUGAAACCUAACUCUUAACCUCAAGUAGUUCACAGCUCCCUCCUCUUCAGGAGAACAAGCCACAGGAUCAUCAAACCACAAACUCCAUUGAGAUACUUCUAGUCUCAACUUCAGCAUCUUUUCCCUACCCUAAGCAUCAGCUUCCAAAUAAAUGCCACAGGAGGUACCUUCCAGAUGAAAACCUAAUCACUUGUGAGCCUGAUCUGGGUGCCUCCAACUGAAGUGAUACCCUGACUUUUCAGUCAGGAGAGUUCCCACUAGUACACUCCUCACCAUAUGAGGUUCAGGCACAGAGGCAAAAAAGAGCACCACAAAAAAGAGGUGAUGUCCAUAGAUCUGUGUCUCAGAAAAGCUUCUGGAGAAGGCAGAUACAACCUUUCCUCAGCUUGCUCAGAAAUGCAGCUGGACAGAUGAACUCGUGAGUAUCUGUUAUGUUAUUUAUCUGGAAUACAUAAUCUCUGCUACAAUAGAAAUAACAGCUUGUCCAGCCAUGGUAAUGAUAUAAGCAAUGCCAUAUGUAUCUUCUUUCUGGUGCUGUAUAACAAUACACUGGGCUCAUAAUAGUUUAUGACUAUAAACCUGGCAUUAAUGCAAUCUAAUAACAUUUACUAGAAGGCAACAAAUCUCAGAAAUAGCAAUGUUUUCUCCCCUGGGUGAGGGUUAGAGUUUUGUAUCUGUACAUAGCACCUGUCCCAGCACCAUGGACAGAGGAGAACUGCUGCACACACACAUGCACGCUCUGACAUCUUCCAAACUGCCCAAAAUACCAAAGCCACUUCUUAUUCUGGUUUGUACUGUCAGAUAUGCCUGAUCCUGCUUGUGGGAAGUCUUGUUCUUCCUUUACAGAACCAGAAGAGUAGGAAUCCACUCUGUGACCUUGCUUGGUGCAGAUGAAGAGUACAGAAAACUCGGUGCAAAUGUCUCCUCCAUGGAACUUUGUCCAUGGAACUCAGCCUCCUUCUUUGGCCACCAGCUGAGAAUCUGUGCUUACAAAUGUCUUUGUAAGAAGGUGGAAUAAGCCAGUUAUUGGUCUUGGUGACACUUUCUAUAGAGAAAUGGAUAUCAGGGUCUUCAAAAAGAGGGAAAGUUCUGUUUCUGGAAGAGAAAAAAAUUUAAAUGAGUCAUGAAGUUUCAUUUCAACAUCUUUAAAUGCAAUGUUUGAUUAUUCAAUUCCAUAUGGUGUUUGGCUGCUAAACUGAAAUCAAUGCCGUCGUAAGAACGAUACUAAUAAGAAAGCUCACAGACCAAGUAUGAAGGUUAUGGAAAAUACUUAAGCUGCUGCCCAAAAUAAACAUACUCUGUGUCUUUUUUCCCCCCUGUCUUAUUAUCAGCUCUCACUGUUGUAACUGCAGCACUGUUCAGUGCACUGCAGGCGAGACCUGUACAGCAGCAAGAUGAUUAGCUUUUUAUCGAUACAGCUACUGAGACAGAGGAGCCAGGUACUUGCUAAGGGUAGUUUGUGUACGGCAGUUGCAAUUCAUUCAGUGGUUUAGUUCACUGAACACAAAUCUACUGUGUGCUUCUUCUUGCUGUCAAUUCUUCAGCUGUCAAUUCUGUCUGUCAAAACAUUUCAGAAUUCAUAUUUUUUUUGUCUCUUCGAAAGUACUGCUUUGUUUCUUGCUGUUCCUUUCAAGCUAUAGGUGGCUUUAGAUAAGCUCUUUAUUUCCCAACAAAAUAGAAAAAAAUCAAAUAUAAUAUUCUUUUUAAGAAGUGGGUGUUUCCCUUCAGCCAAAACUGUGAAAGGACUUUUCAACUGGUUUUGCUAGCUCUGAAGAAAAAGUCCCUCGAGAUUUCUUGAAGAUGACCUUUCUAGGUGAGCAUUUGGUGCCACAAGACCAAGUUGUAGCUGCCUGUCCUUACAAAAGCUGAACCAAACACAUAUUGGUUGCUCUGUCUCCGUGACAUGCAAACAAAAGAAUGCAAAUUACAUCUUACUUUUUUUUUUAUGAACACGGGUGCACCAGCCUAGUUUAUGAAAAAGCCUCUUGGUAAGUUGCCAUUUACACCUUCUAGCUCCUGGUGGUUUCUUGUUUGUACUCUCCCUUUGCUACUCCCUUGUUCCUCUAGCUCCGUUCCCUUCUCUGUUUGCUGUUCUCUGAACAAGCUCUUGCCUUACCAGGCAGGUUAAGAGUCCUAUCUCAGUGGGGCUCUGAUUCCUGUGGAAUAUCCUAUAGCUCUUAUCUUCAGGACUUACUGCUCUACAUUAUAAGGCUUCUUUGGUAGACAGAAGUUGUCAUAAAGAUGAGAAUUCAUCUUUAUCACUGCAAUGAUUAAAUGAUGAUGUCUCUAUUCAAAACAUAUUAAGUUAAUGUCAUGAGAUUAUUAUUUCAAGUAUUUUGGCAGGAAUUUUUCCAUCAGAGAAUAAGAAUCAUCCAAACCAGAGCAUUCUAUGGAGAUGUGUCAGUUUAUACAGAAGUUUAAAGGCAAAUAAGCUGCAAUUUUUUUACUAUCUUGUAUUCGAUGCUGUUGAGACAUUCUGCUUCGAUAUAGCAAAAGUGCUGCACUUUGUCAGUGAUCGAAUCAUUUUGCCUUGACUCUCUGCUUCUAGGAAUACAUGUCUGUAUGAAAAGUAAACACAUAACUAUAGUAGAGUACCUCUUUUUUUCAGAAUUUUUAAUGUCAUGGAGGUGGGGGAAAGAGAUCAGUCUUUUCCCCUUUGUUGCAAUUUAGAGUGCAAGCAAGAUUCAAAAUAGCAAACAUACUUCAGAAGAGAAUUUCUGUUUUCCCAGGUAGUUCUGUGCCUCACCUUCAUUUAUUACUCUGCUUCUUGGAAAAGAAAACGAACAGAGGGAAACUGCAGACUCGGCUGAGAUUCUAGCUUGGUGUCAGAUGCUGUGGCUGUGUAAAAAGAGUAGUCCCAAUUUCUGAACUCGACUUAGAAAGGAGCUACUCACCUCAGUAGGUAAAUUUCCCAGCCGUAACGACAAACUUAAUUGUUUAAUAUUUUAAUCUUUUCAUUAAGCAUAAGGUGAAUGUGUGCAUAUCUUUACAUGCUUCAGACACCUGUAGAGCAAUUACUCUUAGGUGUGAUGUGUGAUGCUGGCAAGUUAAGAUGUGACAAUAUUAUGCUCUUUACACUUGGAUGUCUCUGAAGAGACUAUAAUAGUAAGAUGCAAAAUAACAGCUCAGGAAUCCUCAUACCAUCCUAUUUCAGUCUUGAACAUGCUCUCCACUGCCUCACUUUGGUAAGAAACUUAAGCAUGUGAUGAAAUAAUUUUCUAGGUAGAGUGUAUUUCCUGAAUCAUAUGAGGGAAAUAGCAAUACCUGAAAAUAACAAACCUAUGUAAUCCACAAAAAAAUAGACAUUUAUGUCACCUUAGAAUGAGGUUGCGGGGUUUUUUUUACCUCAAUGGAACUGUAGAAAGUAAUUUGUAAUGUCACAUAAAUAAAUAAAAUUAUCCAAGCAAGUCAUUCCCUGCCUUUACUGGCAUGUUAUUUCUGCCCCUGGUCAUUAAGUGUCAGUCAACCAACAGCUCCACAGAGUUGUGGGAACAAAGUUAUAUGCAGGUAGAAAUGUUGGAGAUUCUAUCCCCUUGGGUUGCACAACCAAACACAAGGUUUAUCACGCAAUGAGGAAACCCACCUACUAGGGCAUAUAUGGCCUUACACACCAGACUAUUCCAUCAUCAGCUUCUCUCCAUGGGGUUCCAAGGACAUCCACUACCAUCCCUCCUCCUGUUUCAUCUUUAUAUUGCCAGUUGAUCACAUAAGUCACAGUCCCUAUAAUGUUUUUUUCUUCCUUCUGGUAUUUUUUUAAGACUUCCUCUCCUCAACAAGUGGUACAGUUUCUGACAAUACUAUACCUUUGCAUUUCAUCUCUUUUACUGCAAAUAUACAUUUGUGUGCAAAUCGGUGCAAAUAGAGCUAAAAAGUUGCAUCUAUUAUUGAUUCUUCUCUUACUGACAUGUUCUUUACACCACAUCUAUUAAACCUAUAAUAUUAUCCCACUGUCUUUUUGGGCUGUGGCAACUGGUCAGACAUUUAUUCUGACCCUGUAAGUUUUAUGGCUAGAACUGAUUAAAAAAAAAGGAGCUAAACUUUUUUGUCUUUCAAUUUCCACAUCUUCCCCAUGCCCAGUUCAUGCAAGUGAAUCCCUUAACAAAAUGGAGAAAAGUUAACCAUGCUAUACAAUAUUAGUGGAACACAUCAGCUGUGACCCUAUUAAACAGUCACGAAAUGGGUAGCUGAAAUGACAGUUUAGUAGCCAUAAUAAAGUUCUUACCUCUAACUAUGCUGAGUAUUAGACAAAAAUGACCAAAACACAAAUUCCAAUGUAAACUAAAGCACUAGGGAGUUAAACUUAAUAGACUGAAAUAACUGGACUUAAACAGACACUUCCAUUAGUGCAUGUGUAUAGGUGUUUUGCUGAAUCCAAAUUAGCUCCUCUAGGCCUGAAUGUCUCAAAUGAUGAGUAUCUGUGAAUACAAAUUAGGGGAUUCAUAAACACGAUCUGUAAAUUUAACUCUUACAUGGGGCCUUUCUGUAUGAUCAGUCCUUCCUAAAAAUUAGUAACAAAAUAAAUGAGAAAAUUCACUGUGUUUAGUGAAUCUUGGGGGGAUGCAGACAUAAAGAGGAAAAUGUCCUGUGCUGAGAGUCAAAGCAUUUCAGAAUUCAACUGAAUGCUUAAUCAUUAAUGUUCUUGAAUCUUUUUGAAAAACAAGCAUUGUUCCAUACGCUUCUCUGCCUUUUAAUUCCACAGUGCUUCCCGCUAAUUAAUUACGUGCCAUUUCCCAUCUAAUCCUGUUUUGUAAAAUUUAAUCUUCAAAUGACAGCAUUUAUCAAGCACAUAAUGCCAGCUGAUGCACAUCAAGCAAAGCAGAUCUUUAUGCUUGCAGACAGAAAUGAACGCCUCAGUCCAAGCUCCCUCUUUCUGUGCCAGUUAUAGUUUAGCAGAGUGAGGUCAUUUACCCACUCCCUGAAUCUGUCCAAGCAUGAGGGGCAGGGCUGGGGGAGCAGAGCUGGAGAAGCCUUGUUGAUGUUGAUGCUCGGCCCAUGGAGGACUGAAAAAUGUGUGUUCAAAGCCAACUUAAGCAAUCACACAGAAAACUUUGUUUUCCUGUUCCAUCUGUGCUGUUUCUCAGGUUUCAAAGCCACCUGGGAAUGGUGGCAAAUUCCCUGCUGGGGCUUCCUGUACAAGUCGUUGUUUCUUUCACUCCCACUCAGUCCCUACCACAAUUAUGCUUUGGACUAAAUCCCUCACUUCAGAGAGUUCCCUGCUCCAGUGCCACAGUGGAAUAGUGAAAAAUAUUUAAAUAAUGGGUUUGGACUCAGUGGUUAAGCACACACUUCAGCAACCUGCCUGAAAAACAGAUUCAGACCCCGAAGGAGUACGCGAGAAUCAAAAGUUAUUUAAUGUGGAAAUGGGACAUAUACAACCCACCUGUGCAUUCAUUUGGUAUUGUCUAUUCACUUAAUGGCUUUUUAAUCCAUCCGCAAGUUUCAUCCUCUUGUAACACAGAAGUAAAACUCUCAAAUUAGGAGUUUCAAUUAAUUUCAUGGAAAUUGUUGGCUUGUUAGAGGAGAGUAAAAUUUUAUUGAGUCUGCAUGAGGGAAUAAGUGUAGUGAAAAUCCCUACUAUGAAAUAAAGAAUCUACUCAGAAGAGAUUUCAAGAAAUUGACACUAUAUUGAAUUGGUGAUGUGUUGGUGUUUUUUUCCACUUCAAUUUGAAAUAGUGGGAGACUCAACUGAAUUAAUCUUUUCCAUACUCCACUUUUCACUUGGAGCUACUUCUGUCGCAAAAUUACUUUAUAAGCUAACUUUAAAUGAAUGUACGCUUGCAGAUAUGAGAUUUGCCUUCUGCUCCAUGCCACAUGAGGCUGCACUGUCACUAGAAAAUUAAAUAAAAACUAGAAAUUGAACUUUGA